rnacentral:rRNA from 1 species
GAUGAACGCUGGCGGCGUGCCUAAUACAUGCAAGUCGAGCGAACGGUCGAUCACCUUGCUUCUCUGACUUUAGCGGAGGACGGGUGAGUACCACGUGGUUAACCUACCUAAAAGACCGGGAUAAAUUCGGGAAACAGGAGGUAAUAACGGAUAAUAUUUCAAAACACUUGGUUCAAAAGUGAAAGAGGGUGUUGCUGACACUUAUAGAUGGAUCCGCGCUGCAUUAGCUACUUGGUAAGGUAACGGCUUACCAAGGAAACGAUGCAUAGCCGACCUGUGAGGGUGAUCGGCCACACUGGAACUGAGACACGGUCCAGACUCCUACGGGAGGCAGCAGUAGGGAAUCUGCCGCAAUGGGCGAAAGCCUGACGGAGCAACGCCGCGUGAGUGAUGAAGGUCUUCGGAUCGUAAAACUCUGUUAUUAGAGAAGAACAAGGGUGUAAGUAACUGAGCACAACUUGACGGUACCUAAUCAGAAAGCCACGGCUAACUACGUG